UACGUAGGGUGCGAGCGUUGUCCGGAAUUAUUGGGCGUAAAGAGCUCGUAGGCGGUUUGUUGCGUCCGUCGUGAAAGCCCACAGCUUAACUGUGGGUCUGCGGUGGAUACGGGCAGACUAGAGGCAGGUAGGGGAGAACGGAAUUCCCGGUGUAGCGGUGAAAUGCGCAGAUAUCGGGAGGAACACCGGUGGCGAAGGCGGUUCUCUGGGCCUGUACUGACGCUGAGGAGCGAAAGCGUGGGGAGCGAACAGG
rnacentral:rRNA from 1 species